CAAAUCAUCUCCACGCUGUCCAUAACAAUGCCAGCAAAUGGCUCGUUUACCCCAGUUCUCACUUGGAAGGGCUCAUUAACAUACGAAUUCUCCCCGCUUAAGACUUCCUUGCAUUUAAAAGCAAUUCCUGCGGCUUAGAGCCGGAGAUUUAUUUUUUAGCAGUAAAUAACAGCAAAAGCAAAGGAGUCAGGCACACGAGGCACUUAAGUAGCGAGUAAGGGUUUUUAACUAUCAUCCUUGAAACACAAGAAAACGCCCCGCGCACGUUCAUGUUAAUCUUGUUUCUGUGCUAUUUAUAGGGGCUCUAAGAGAGGAAUUUGGCUUCAGCUGUCUGCAGGAAGGGCUCAGAGAAGCAAAAACUGGACCUCAAGGCGAGCCUGGAAAGGAAUGAUCAUUAGUAAUGAUCAUUAGUAAUUAGUGAUCAGUUGAAGUCCACGAUUCUCCUGCGCCACAAGCUUUAAUCGGGACAACAGCCUUAUCAGGUGGGGGGAAUGCCAAGCGAAGGGGCGAGGAACACUUGGUGCUCCACCCUCCCUAAACUGCCAGCAAAUAAACGCACCGUGAAGGCCAGCAGUUCCUACUUUAAAACUCAGUAUGACGAUUUUGCAGCAUAUAUUUAUUUAUAUAGAGAACAAUAGCCUAUUGUAGCUGCGAUUUAAAAAUAUACAGGUUGCCUUAAAUAGAUCCCUCAAGUAAAUAAUUGUGUGGCCAAAUUCUGUUAUCGCUGCUGCAGACGGAGGCUGCAGACAAGCUGAGUUUUUUUUUUUUUUAAGUUGCUACUUUUUUAAAGUGACAGAGACCAAAAAGGUCCUGGCUCUGCUGGUGUUUUCAAACUAGUUCAGACAUCACAAAUCAUUAUUUGAGAUUCAAGUGGAUUCAGGUUUUCCAGAUGAUUUCCAAAGAGCACCUCUGGCCUGAGGGCACGGGGAGUUGUGGAAAACACUCUCAUGCACCCACCUUACCCUGUCGAUCCGUGAAAUUCACCACGGUAUCUGUAUCUGAGUCGUUUUCUUGUGUGGUUUUUAUUUUAUUUUUGGACAGGGUUCUUCAUCCCACCCAGGCUGGCUUCAGACUUGCUGUGUAGCCUGGCUUCCCAGAUACUGGGAUUAGCAGAGUGUGUCACCCCACACCACACCUCACAUUUCCCUUUUCCUGCUUCAUUCUGUUGGAGCUUCUCAGGGAAGAAGACAUCAGCUAACGGCAUCCUCAGAGUUCCCUUGGGCUCACUGCACUGAACCGGCUACUGAUUUACAUCACACUCGAAACUGGCUUGUCAGUAAAAUACAGAUUCUAUGCGGCCAGGCUGACCCUACUUAGAAGAACUCUUAAAGGAGGCUGGCUUCACACUGAAUGUUGACCCACAAAUACUCCCACUACAUCCUGUAGUGAGGUUUAUCAGUAUUAAAUGUAGCCACUGUGGGCGUGUUACAAGGUAACUACUUGUAAAUACCGUUUGCCACAUCUCCAACAGGUACUGUCAACUUGUCCUUUGUGUUUCGGCCAGCGAAGCAGUUUGGGGACAGUUAAAAACUUCCUACUAACUUUCAAUCUGAAUGAAACAGACCCUUGUCCGCCCUGAAAGGCAGCACCACUGUCAACAGUGAAUUUAUGCAGAUAGAGAGCAAGGCCCCCAGCUGGCAUCCUUUUGUUUCAGGUUGGAACCCACUGUUUCCGUUGUGGCCUGGGAGACCACUGAGCAUGUGGACGCCCUCAUUCCUAUUGGCUGAGCCUGCUCCACCCCGGGGAAGGGCUGGAAGGCAGGUGGCAAGGCUUUUCUGGAGUUAGGGGCCUUCAUGGAGGCUUAUGAUAAGUUUCAGCUCCACGAGGUCUCCAAUUACUUUCUUUACCCUUUGAUUAUAUUUAAAGCAUCAUGAUUAGAGAGCACGGGUUCUUCAACAGUUUCUACACUCCAUUCCAUCAUUCCAUUGUAUUUAUGACUCCAAACCUCCCAGCUGCCCAUCCCCCGCCCCCACCCCUCCUUCAGCGAGUGGGGCCAUCUUCACUUCAAAGUACCCUGGUGCACAGGGUUUGUAGUCAGGGGCCUAAAUGCCUAUUCUCUCAGCAGGUACUUGCUAACACUGGGACAGAUCACUUCUCCAAGGCUAGCCUUUGUGAUGGUGAGCGUCCCACCUCUAAGAGGCUGAGUCUGGGCUAGGUCCUGCACACACAAACCCCAGCCUCUUCCACGCCAAGCUGCCUGCUCCCAGCACUCCAUCAGCUCUAGUGGCUUUUGUUGUGAUUUUUAUCUCAGAGUUUGGCUGCCGAUCUCGACACUAACACCAGGUAGGUGCUUAGAGCGGUGCUGUUCGGAGACCUCGGCACAGCCGGGUGAAGAAUACAGACCUGGGAUGCUAAUCUGAUGUUUGUCCAGGUAACAGCUAGUAAAAACCAGCAGCCACCUUGGCCCGCUCUACCCUUCCCUCCCAACUACUCUGGGAUACUUCUGUUCACACCCGAAGACAUGCUGGAUGAACAGACUUGUGUCCAGUAUAAUCGACCAAGUUGCCUCAGAGUCUGACCUUCAACUGCCUCAGCUUGGUUGUCGGGUCUCGGGUGUAUUACAAACAUCUUUAAACUUCACUACUGAAAAACUACGGAUAUGUGAGGAGGAGGAAGAAGAGGAAGAGCAGAAGGAGGAGGAAGAGAAGGAGGCGGAAAUGAGGAUGAGGAAGAGGAAGAAGAGGAGAAAGAGGAGGAGGAAGGGUCAGGUCAGCAAGAUGCCUCAGUAUGCAACAGCACUCAUUAGGGCUGACAACCUGAGUUCAAUCCUUGGGUCCCCCCAUAAGGUGACGAGAUGGGACCCCAGAGAAAGGAGCUAUCCGCUGACUUUCACAGACACCAGAAGUAAAUAAAUUAAAAAAUAAUUUUAAGUCAAUUAAUUUGAGGUUCGAUGUAUAAGUUUUUGGGGUGUGUGUGUGUGUGUGUGUGUGUGUGUGUGU